rnacentral:lncRNA from 1 species
GCUCUUUCGUGGUUAGGGGUUUCGUUGAGCUGGUGGUUAUGGUUGGAAACCACAUAGUCAUAGUUUUCGUGGAGAGAAAGGAUGGUUAGGGUAUGUGUUCAUAUGAUCAGAAUCGGGGUUAGUAUUCAUAUGGUCAGAGUUACAAUCAGUGUUCAUGUGGUCAUGAUUAUUGUUCAUGUGGUCAAAGUGUUUGUGUGUUCAGGGCUUUCUCAAAAACGGCGGGGAAAAAAUUGCAGUGGUGGUUCUGCAAGUGCGGCGGCGGCCGCAAGAAGAGUUGUGGCAAUGGCGAUGAAAGAAGUUGCGGUGAUGACGGUAAUCGUGCAAAGAAUUGAGAUGAUAGUGUUGUUUUGAUAAAUUCACGGAUCUGAGUUAGAUAAAAAAAAAGAAAAGGAGAAAAAGGAAAGAGGAGCCAAUCAAGAAAGAUGAAAAAUAAAAAAUGGAAAAUGGAAAAAGAAAGAAAAAAGGAAAAAAAAAUGAUAGAUUCUGUAAUUUGAAAAAGAGAUCUGAUGUUUGACGAAGGAGAUAUGUGGGAGAGAAGAAAUGCAAAGAAAAAACAAAAUAGAGAUGUGAAAGGCGAUUGAUUGAGUAACCAACUUUAACCCACGUUUCCAACCAACCAGUUAAAAUUAAAAGGGC